CUUUUGUAAAUGUUUUGUUUUUUAUUUAUACAAAUUAGCAACAAUUCUAAACCAGUUUUUGCAUUGUCAGUAUGGGGUAUUGUGUGUAGAUUUGAUUUAUUUAAAAAAAAGAAAUCCAUUUCAGAAUAAAUUUGUAAUGUAACAAAAUUUGGAAAAAGUCAAGUGGUCUGAAUAGUUCCCGAAGGCACUGUAUAAGUGAGUUUGUCCCAAUACUUUUAGUCGCCUCCAUUUUAGGUGACCAUGUGCAAAAACGUUCUUUUAACUUUUAAAUGUUCACCCAGAUGAACAUACCCUCAAAUUAAAGCUGACAGUCUGCACUUUAACCUCGUCAUUCUAUAAUGUCAAAUACAAAGUGCGUGAGUACAGAGACAAAAUGAAUUCAUUGUCACAACACAUUUGGAACUCACUGUAUUUUUCUUUUUGAUUUGAAUUGGAAAUAAUCACAUUAAAGUACUUCAUUGUUAAUCAGAAAUGAUUUGAUAUUGAGAUAACGGUUGCAGUGGAUCUUUAAGCUGGCAGUGUUCUUCAUUGUGGUCUUCAUCAACGCUGUUAAAAUGAACAGUAACCACAUUCCCAUCCACAGUUUUUAUGCGAGUAAAGUCAUACCGUAUAAAAAAAAAUGUAUCACGACAGCUGUGAUGGAAACAAGUAGUUUUGGUAUAAUUUUCUUUUUGUGUCAAAUUAUUUGGGCAAGAAAUGGUGGUGGAAAUAUUGGUAUAAUAUAUAGAGUAAACAUUGGAGUCCCACUAUUACUCUGGAAACCAUGAGUUUAUUAUUAGAGAUUAAAUCAAUUAUGAUGAUCUUCAGUGCAUGGUCAUCUUGAUGCUCCUUUCCCAUAAAUUCAAAGUAUUGUUUUAAAUUUACUUAGCAAAAUUAAAAGUAUAAAUCAUAUCAAAUUCCUUACAGUAUAUUAGGCAAACCAGACGGCACUGUUUUCUUGGAUAGCCAGGGGCACACUCCAAUAUUCAGAUACCAUUGAACACGUGCUUCGUUUGUGAGUCCGCCAGGUCUGAGGCAGGAGGGAAGACCAGGGUUGUUCUCUUGUGAGUCCGCCAGGUCUGAGGCAGGAGGGAAGACCAGGGUUGUUCUCUUGUGAGUCCGCCAGGUCUGAGGCAGGAGGGAAGACCAGGGUUGUUCUCUUGUGAGUCCGCCAGGUCUGAGGCAGGAGGGAAGACCAGGGUUGUUCUCUUGUGAGUCCGCCAGGUCUGAGGCAGGAGGGAAGACCAGGGUUGUUCUCUUGAUAAGUGUGUGAAUUUGACCAAUUUCCUGUCCUGCUAAGCAUUGAAAAAUGUAUGGAGUAAAAAGUUAUUCAGUGAAGUAAUAGUUUUCUGAAAUAAAUAUAAAGUACAGGUUCCUACAAAAAAAAUGACCUAAGUAGUACUUUACACCACUACCUCAACCAAAGUAAGCACAUUUGUUUUUUACUGGAGCCGUUUGUGAUAAAUCGGUAGAGUUAAAAAAUGUGAUCGAAACAUUUUUUUAUUCGGUGCAAAAAAGCACGUCAUCAGCAACUGACUGUUUGGUGGAAACCCCACUCCUCAAAUUGGAUGGAAACUUAGCUAGUGACUCACUGUGGAAAACAUGGUAACGAUUAAAAGUGUAAUCAUUGAUUGGGCUUGCAAAGAGCUCACCAGUUUGUUGUCCUAAAACCUGGAAAUUAUACUGAACAAAAAUAUAAACACAUGUAAAGUGUUGGUUUCAUGAGCUGAAAU
ensembl:lncRNA